rnacentral:rRNA from 1 species
GUGUCAGCAGCCGCGGUAAGACGGAGGAGGCAAGCGUUAUCCGGAAUUAUUGGGCGUAAAGGGUCCGCAGGUGGCAGUUCAAGUCUGCAGUCAAAGGUCGGGGCUCAACCCCGGAAAGGCUGUGGAAACUGAACAGCUAGAGUACGGUAGGGGCAGAGGGAAUUCCUGGUGUAGCGGUGAAAUGCGUAGAUAUCAGGAAGAACACCGGUGGCGAAAGCGCUCUGCUAGGCCGCAACUGACACUGAGGGACGAAAGCUAGGGGAGCGAAAGGGAUUAGAUACCCCUGUAGUCCUAGCUGUAAACGAUGGAGACUAGGUGUGGCCUGUAUCGACCCGGGCCGUGCCGGAGCUAACGCGUUAAGUCUCCCGCCUGGGGAGUACGCACGCAAGUGUGAAACUCAAAGGAAUUGGCGGGG